GCUUAACCUGAUGUUUAGUAUUUUGUGUAUAAACUGAUUUUUGGUAUUUGUGUUUGUAGAAAUCAGUUUAAGGGAGGGUAUGUUGAUAGUUGUAUAUGUGUGUUUGGGCUUAGCUUGCAUUGGGCCUAGUAUGUGUCAAGCCCAUUUGUGUUGCUUGUGUGCCAAGCUAUAUAAGCCAAACUUUGUAAUCACUUGUAAUCACUUUUUGCUAAUCAAUGAGAAACAAUAGAGUUG
rnacentral:lncRNA from 1 species